GGGGUGAACCCAGGAGGCAGAGCUUGCAGUGAGCCGAGAUCGCGCCACUGCAUUCCAACCUGGGCGACAGUGAGACUCCGUCUCAAAAAAAAACAAAACAAAAAAAAAAAAACUUGAGGAUGAAAGAAAAAUACUUCUCUACAGAAACAAUAAAAAUCGGUUGCAACAUCUGGGCAGCUGUGAUCCAGCAGAAAGAAACGAGUCCCAACCUGAAUUAAAGGGAAAAAGAAACCAUAUGAAUUUAAUCCAGUCUCAUCUAGAAAAGCUUCCCAUUUAGGUCACUUGUAUGUAACUCCAAUUCCUUCUCCAAGAGCCCUUCCAGGAGAGGCGCAAGGUCCCCCCACACAGAGUGGAAUGAGUGGAACUUGCGUCAGUAGCCCUUGGCUUAG
rnacentral:lncRNA from 1 species